AAAAAGUUUGAAUACCACUGAUCACAGGUAACUGGAAAUAUACAUUCGCAUGUCUUUGCUGUUAUCAGCGGUGAUUUACAUAUAGCACGAAUAGUUUCAGAUAUAUUUUUCGACAACUGAUGAUUAAUAGAUAUUUGUAUUGUUUUUACCUUGAGCACAUUUGCAAGCUUGAUGUGCACGCGGGCAUUUUCUGGAUAAUGCAAUGUUGUAAGACCUUGAAUACAGCCAAGCACAGCUGUCGACACAGCUACUAUGUUUUGCAAUACUAGUUUUAGUCUGUUACUGCAGCCACGACGCCAAAAGCAAAUAAUCUCUUGGAUCCAAGCAAACGGGUGAGGGUAUAACAAGGAAUUAUUUUACUGCGACACCCAAUGGACAGAUCUGUGAAAUGCCUCUAAAUGCCACAUCAAUUUAUGUAAACAUUAUAAAAUUUAUUUGCGGAAUUAACAACUGAAGGGAAUUUGCUCUGUAUUUUUCUUUACGAUUUAUGAAACUAAAACUAUGUAUAAUAUAUUGUCAUAUUAUGAUGCUUUGAUUAAAACGUUUUUAAUUAGUUUAAUGUAAUAAAUACGUGAUGUAAUAAAUAUUUGUCAAUUUUGCUAAAGCAACAAGCAUGACUGGCUGAAUAGGGAAAAAGAUUUUUAAUAUAAUAAAGAAAUUUUUAACUACAUAUUGGUAACAUGCAUUUGGCAGCAAAGUAUUUUAUCUGACAGUAAAUCUCCAUCAGGCACCUAACAUUGUCACAACGUUGAAUAACAGUUGAAAUUACGUUGAAUAAGGUAAUUAUAAUGCUGAGAUUUCAAUAACUGCUGUGAGCAAGCAGGGACAGCAUUGCCACUAUGUUGAUCUCGCGUCGAAAUAUUACAAUAUAAUAUAUUAUUUAUAUAAGUUUAAAAAAAUCAUUCAGGUAGCACUCUGCAAACAGUUGACCACCAUCUAACGUAAAAGUUAAUGCUAAUUUUUUUUUAUACGUGAAGCAGAUCGUUCGCGUUCUCUUAGUUAGUUGAAAGUAGUGAGUUUGGCGCCAUCGCGUCAGCUCGUUAGCUGCUACUGAUUCUACAGUAUUUCACAAAACGUUUGUAUCAGUAAGGUUGACGUUGUUUUAAAAGUGUUAGUUUGCAAAGAAAACGUUUUUAAGCGAUCUGGAUAUGACGUAUGUUUUGGUAUUGCCAUAAGCCGCUAGUGUGGCCUCUCGGUGAAGGUGUGGAGCUGCAGUGCAGCAGAAAAAGGGGAAAAGGCAGUCAACACAAGCAGAGCGCCCAAAAGAAGUGUGUUUAUUUCAGCGUGCCUAAACACCCAAAAAGAACCUGCAUCCCUGCUUGGGCUUGCGUCAACACCACACCCUACACGCAUGAGCAAAGAUUGCUGAGCAAUUCCGUCAUGGCCCAGUUUAGUUUUAAAGGAAAGGGUGGAAAGGCCAGUUUCACAGCAACUAUGAUCUGUUCAGUGCUAAAAGUCCAGCUUCCGUACCUGACUCACCUGUCCUGCCGAGUCCAGCCUCUCCUGUUCGCCCCUCCUUUUGUGUCCCCGGUCUUGUGUGUCUCCGUCGGACGGAUCCCCCUGGUAUCGACCUCAGCUCACGGACAACGACCACGAUUACUGCACGCCGCUUCUGUACCUACCUGCCAGCUUACCGAUUCGGUGAUAUCGCCCCUGCCCAUCGCUCUCUCUCUCUCCGGUUACCGGGGAAGAAGAACCUGUGAUCCCUCUCUGCGCCGUAUUGGACAUUUCCUGUAUUCCUGCCCAAACUGACUCAUUAAAGCUCUGUAUUCCCUGCACCCUGGAUCUCUGCUUCUCUCCCUUGCCUUACGUGACAACUUGGUUAGGGCAAACUAGCAAAUUGUCUUUCAAUUGGGCAACUUUACAUUUUCUUUGUUUACUGUUUGUCACUUCCAGGUAAAAAAUGUGGCACGUGCAGUAUCUAGUUCAGUUUGGGUUCAAUCGAACACAUACAUGCAGAGCUAAAUCCAUUCCAAACCACAUUAUCUGGGUAGACCGAUUGAGUGAUUUAGUGUGAUUUCAGGUGGACUAACAUGUUACAUGUGUUUUAAAAGACCGGUUGGAGUCCGACUAACACCAAUUUAAUUUUUCUUUGUCAUGUAAACAUAUUGACUGCACUUCAGUUGAUGUUUGUGUAUGUUUUAAUGUAUCAUAAAACUGCAAAAUGCAUAACAACUACCACAUUAAUGCAAGUGAAUAUAAUGGUCUAAGCACUUAGAAUGUUCUGUGCCAAAAUGUUGUCAAUUUAUGAAAACCUGUAGAUACUGUAUAACUUUACAUCUUGUGUCAGUAGUACACAUAUGAGUCCUCUCUCUGCAAUAUGAGUACUCUCUCUGCUGUACAAGUCCUAUAUACAAGUCCUGCUAUAUGAGUCCUCUCUCUGCUCAGAGAGUCUCAUAGCAUUCUCUGCAGCAGAGUGAUGACUCAUAUAGCAGAGAGAGGACUCAUAUAGUACUCAUAUGAGUACUCUCUGCAAUAUGAGUACUCUCUCUGCUAUAUCAGUCAUCUCUCUCUGCUAUGAGUCAUCACUGUGCUGUACGAGUCCUCUCUCUGCUCAGAGAGUCUCAUAGCAGUCUCUGCAGCAGAGAGAUGACUCAUAUAGCAGAGAGAGGACUCACAUAGUACUCAUAUGAGUACUCUCUCUGCAAUAUGAGUACUCUCUCUGCUAUAUGAGUCAUCUCUCUGCUGUACAAGUCCUAUAUACAAGUCCUGCUAUAUGAGUCCUCUCUCUGCUGUACAAGUCCUCUCUCUGCUCAGAGAGUCUCAUAGCAGUCUCUGCAGCAGAGAGAUGACUCAUAUAGCAGAGAGAGGACUCAUAUAGUACUCAUAUGAGUACU